GGAUUCAGGAUUCUGACCCAAAACUGGGAAAACACCUCGUCACCUGCCGCUACCAGGCCCUCGAGGAAUCCCCCGCACGCCGCCUUCUCCACGCGCUCGCCACACUCGCCUCCACGGUCUGCGCGCGCGCACCCCGGACCUCGGCCUAGGCCGCCGCGGCCUGUGGGAUCGCUGCCUCCGACCUCCUGGUGGCCACUGCGCUCAUCGGGAGGCAUGCCGAGGCCGGGGACAUGGGCGACGCGUGCAGGGUGUUCGACGGAAUGCCGCACCGGGACGCCGUGGCGUGGGACGCCGUUAUUGGUGGGUAUGCGCGGGCGGGGCGCCUGGCCGAGGCUGUGGAGCUGUUUGGCAUGAUGAGGUCUGCAGAUGGAGCGUGGCCGACCGAGGCGACGCUUGUGAGCUUGGUUUCCGGUUAUGCCUGGUUCGGUUCUUCGAAGGGUCGUUGUACGAUGCACGCGCGCUGUGGUUAAGUCUGGCUUCCAGCACAGCCUCUUCGUUUCCAAUGCUCUCCCAGAGAUGUAUGCAGAGUUGGGUUGUUUGAGUGAGGCAUUGUUGGUGUUCCGGCAGAUGGAGAUGAAGGAUUCUGUGACUUGGAGUUCGAUGAUUGGUUAGAUGUGACGUGGUUGCAUGGAAUGCCCUGAUCAAAGCCUAUGGACAGCUAGGACUAGCGGAAAAAGCAAUCAGGUUUGCGAUAGAAAUGCAUAGGACAGGCAUUGACCCAGACAAUGUUACAUUCUUGGAGAUUCUACAUAUGAUCUCACUGAUUCCAUCACUGAAUUAGGGGAUGGAAGUACAUCCUCACAUUGUUUCCAGAAUGAACAGGCGAUUGCUAAUUCACUUAUUUACAUGUAUGGUCGAUGUGGGAGUCUCAGUCUUUCAGUUGGUGCCUUUAUUAUUGGGAUUAUGGAUAAGGAUGCAAUAUCUUGGACUUCUAUGAUGCAGGUAUAUGCAUGGAGUGGACUUGCAACCGAAGUUGUUAAGCUUUUUGAGAUGAUGAAGAAAACAAAAGUACAACCCAAGCACUACACUUUAAUUGCUGUGUUGACUACCUAUAAAAACAUAGGCCUUGUUGAGGAGGGAAUGGGCCUACUUAAGUGCAUAAAAGAGCAGUAUGGUCUGGAGCCAGUUAUAGAGCACGUUUCAUGUGCUGUUGAUAUGCUUUGUCGUACUGGACGCUUGAGUGAUGCAUAUCACCUGAUCCAGAGUUCCCACUCUGAACAUGCAAGAAACCCUAUAUUGUGGGGGACAUUACUAAGUAGUUCACGUUACUGGGGGGAGUUGGUGAUUGGUGAAGCAGAAACUAGAAAUCUCUUGUCCUUGGAUCCAGGAAGCAAAGCUAACUAUAAGAUGCUAGCUGAUAUUUAUGUUUCAAUUGGGAGAAGGGACAAAGCUGACGAUGUCCUGAGAAUGUCGUUGUCAAAAAGAACUGGACUUGAAACCAGGCUGUAGCUGGACUGAAGGUGGCUAAAGAUUGCAAUACAUGCUAGAAGGUAUGAUUUUCGCAUGUUUGCAUGUUCUUUAAAAAAUGAUUACAUCAAUAAGUGUGAAUCAACAUUUGAAUU